GUACGGCGAGUGAAGCGGUAAAAGCUCAAAUUUGAAAUCUGGUACUUUCAGUGCCCGAGUUGUAAUUUGUAGAAUUUGUCUUUGAUUAGGUCCUUGUCUAUGUUCCUUGGAACAGGACGUCAUAGAGGGUGAGAAUCCCGUUUGGCGAGGAUACCUUUUCUCUGUAAGACUUUUUCGAAGAGUCGAGUUGUUUGGGAAUGCAGCUCAAAGUGGGUGGUAAAUUCCAUCUAAAGCUAAAUAUUGGCGAGAGACCGAUAGCGAACAAGUACAGUGAUGGAAAGAUGAAAAGAACUUUGAAAAGAGAGUGAAAAAGUACGUGAAAUUGUUGAAAGGGAAGGGCAUUUGAUCAGACAUGGUGUUUUUUGCAUGCACUCGCCUCUCGUGGGCUUGGGCCUCUCAAAAAUUUCACUGGGCCAACAUCAAUUCUGGCAGCAGGAUAAAUCAUUAAGAAUGUAGCUACUUCGGUAGUGUUAUAGCUUUUUGGAAUACUGUUAGCCGGGAUUGAGGACUGCGCUUCGGCAAGGAUGUUGGCAUAAUGGUUAAAUGCCGCCCGUCUUG
rnacentral:rRNA from 1 species